rnacentral:lncRNA from 1 species
GGAGCAGUGGAGGAAGGGCAAGAAUGCUGGCAGUUGUGGAAGCUGAGUAGAACUCUGAAGCAACUGACCUGCAUUUCCAGCCUGGGAAGGAGAGGAGAAGGAGCAUUUCCUGAGGCUCAGGGGAGAUCUGAACUGGAUUGACUUACUGGUUGUGGACCUGUCUUCAGCUAGAAUAUAUUCCACAGAUCUCCUCACCAUUGGACUCCUACUACUCAAGACUGACCAAGAGUCAGUUGCAUUCUGAGGAGAAGGUACAGAAAGAAAAAUUGGGAGAUGCAAUUUUACUGCAAGUAUCCAUGGAAUGGCGAGUCAAGAAUUGAAGCUUUUGAUAGUCUAUCAGAGCCCAAGGCAAACCUUCAAGGAUCCAGAUAUCUGCAGAAAUUCUGAUUGUGUUCCACACAGAGCAACUGAUAAAUUCUUGACCUGCUUUGCCGACAAUUUAAUCUCUCAGAAGGUGAAGGAAGCAAUGAGAACUGCUACUCUGGGCUUAAUCUUAACUCAGAGAAGAACUGUCUGAUGAUAUAGACAUGAUUGAAUUCUUAAAAGUUACCAUUUUAUAUUAGAGUUCAAAAUAAUAAAGGAAGAGAAUGCAUAAUCA